AUGAACGCUGGCGGCGUGCCUAAUACAUGCAAGUCGAGCGAACAGACGAGGAGCUUGCUCCUCUGACGUUAGCGGCGGACGGGUGAGUAACACGUGGAUAACCUACCUAUAAGACUGGGAUAACUUCGGGAAACCGGAGCUAAUACCGGAUAAUAUAUUGAACCGCAUGGUUCAAUAGUGAAAGACGGUUUUGCUGUCACUUAUAGAUGGAUCCGCGCCGCAUUAGCUAGUUGGUAAGGUAACGGCUUACCAAGGCAACGAUGCGUAGCCGACCUGAGAGGGUGAUCGGCCACACUGGAACUGAGACACGGUCCAGACUCCUACGGGAGGCAGCAGUAGGGAAUCUUCCGCAAUGGGCGAAAGCCUGACGGAUCAACGCCGCGUGAGUGUUGAAGGUCUUCGGAUCGUAAAACUCUGUUAUUAGGGAAGAACAAAUGUGUAAGUAACUAUGCACGUCUUGACGGUACCUAAUCAGAAAGCCACGGCUAACUACGUG
rnacentral:rRNA from 1 species